AUGGUCUGUACGACGGACAUGUUCCGUGAGCGCUACAGCUUACCAGCAACUGCGGGAUCAAGCUGGGAAUUAUUGGGUGUCAGGCUGGUCCGUCCGAGCGAGCGAGCAUGCGGCACCGCGUGCGCUAACAAUGGCAAGACAUGCAUGGGGGCGGAAUCCGCCAUGGUCCAGAUUAAGGUCCACUGCUCGUGCCCCCGCUUUCAGAAAUCAGAACCCCGAACAAAGGGGACUGUAAAUCCUUGUCGACCUUCCCAUCAUCCGUAUCAGCUGGGAAUUAUUGGGUGUCAGGCUGGUCCGAGCGAGCGUGCGGCACCGCGUGCCUCUAACAAUGGCAAACCAUGCAUGGCAUGGCGGCGGAAUCCGCCAUGGUCCAAAUUAAGGUCCAUUGCUCCUCGUGCCGCCGCUUUGGGAAAUCGGAACCCCGAACAAAGCGGGGUCGUAAAUCCUUUCUUGAUCUUCUGA
rnacentral:rRNA from 1 species